rnacentral:rRNA from 1 species
UACUAUAGCCAUGCCACCCUCAACAAGCCUGAUGGCGUCUGAUCUCGGAAGCCAAGCAGGGUUGGGCCUGGUUGGUACUUGGAUAGGAGACCACCUAGGAAGACCAGGUGCUGUAGGCA